CCUGUACACAGUUGUAUAUCUUAGUUGCACGUCCUUCUAGUUGUGGGAUGUGGGACGCCACCUGAACGUGGCCUGACGAGCGGUGCCAUGUCCACGCCCAGGAUCCGAACCCUGGGCCGCCACAGCGGAGCGCGCGAACUCAACCCCUCGGCCACGGAGCCGGCCCCCUGAUAUGAUGAAUUUAAUAACACAGUUAGAGUCUUGAGAAGAAAAUUACCAUUACAAACUUUUCUUUUAGAAGAAAUCUUCCUCUAAUCUGUUUUUCUAUUAUUGAGACUGUCCUUUCAGCUGAGUUAUCACAGAAAGCACCAAACUGCCUGCUUGACGUGAUACAUUCCCUUGACCUACUAUUCACAUAAAUAAGAUUUCCUAAUAUUAUUUGCUAUAAUCAAAAUAAAUAGGCUUUCUUACUUCUUUGCAAAACUAUACUUGCAUGGAGAACAUACAAAAUCUUAAUAAGAACAAGAUAUGUUAUAAGUCGAUGGUAAUAAAUUUAAAACAAUUUACUUCCACAGAAAUAAUAACCACGAUAAUACAACAGUGAUACAGUUCAACAUGACUUACUGACUAUGUGCCAGGUACUAUUCUUGUAUCAGAGAUUCAGGGCUUAAUAACACAAGGCAGAAAUAAGUUCUAAAUAGAGACACAUGGAAUACGAGAGGAGAAACGAGGAAUGUUUCAGGAAGGACGUGCCACUUGAGUUGUUUCUUGACAGAUAAGAAGAAAAAUGGUUAAGAACUUGGAAUUAUUAAUUCACUUCUCAGUAGCUUGUAACUAUUUUUCAUGGACAUCAUAUCACCAAGUGUGCAGAUAGGUUGAGUAGUAGUGUCCCCAUUGCCUCCCCCCCAUACCCUCCCACUGCCUGUAGAUUACAGUUUCAAGAAUCACCUCUAAACAGACACACCUGGGUUCACAUCUUGGUUAUGCCAUUUUGUAACUUUGGAAAAAUACCAACUUAACCCUGACAAGGCUCAUUUUCUUCAUUUAUCAGUAGGGAUUACAAUUCUUAUCUCACAGAUUUAUGAGGAGUAAAGGAAAUAAUCUAUGUAGAGUACUUGGCACUAUGCUUCACAUGCAGCAAGCACUUGACAAUACGUAGUCGCUCUUAGUGUUUUUCUUCCUCUUUCUCUUUUUAAAAUUACUAUUAAUCCAAGGUUCUCAGAAAGUGUUAUGAACCACAUGAAUAAUAGUUACUUCUGUCAAAUCAUAAACUACCUUACACUGAUUAUAAAAGUCUUGGUUUUUCUAUUGUAACAUUUCAAGGUUCCAUUUCGAGGUUCUUUUGAUAGAUGAAAUUAACCUGCAAUGAUUGACAGAUGCUCAGCUCAGCCCCCUACCUUUAUUUCAGUCCACCUGUCCCCACACCAAGUGGCAGUGUGUGUUGAGAGUAAAUACUCAGCAGCUCUUAGUUAUUGCUUUGUUCUUCCUCAUGGCUUUUACUCUCUUCUCUAUUGCUGACUUCCUCUUAUUUUCUGACUAUAACACAUUAACCCCUUCUGGCAGCUAAUAAGAAUAUUCUAUUGGUACCAAACUGUAAAUCUUUUCCUCAGUUGGGGGAACCAGCAUUUGUCCAUUGAAACUAGCAUGCUUUGGCACAAUAAGAUAAUCAAUAAAUACUUGUUAUUUUGUGUGAGAUUUGAAGAAUUGUGGCCUUGAAGUUUGAAAUCCUGUGACCACACACCAAGGAGUGCUGGCAGCCAAUCAGAAGCUGAAAGGGUUAAUGACUGGAUUCGCCUCGAGAGCCUCGGGAGGAGCCGCAGCCCUACAAACACCUUGAUUUCAUAUCUCACAUCUUCCUCAUCCAUUCAUCCGUUGAUGGGCUCGGCUUGGAUUGCUUCCGUGUCUUGGCCAUUGUGAACAAUGCUGCGAUGAACAUAGGGGUCAGAAGACCAGUACAGGUGUCACCGGACUAAAACUGGAGUAUCAGCAGGCAUUCCCUGCUGGAGGCUUAAGGGCAGAAUCCAUUUCCUUGCAUUUUCCAGCUUCUAGAGGCAUCUCCCUGGUCCUUGCAUACUGUCGCCAACAUUUCAGAACUGGCAAUAGGGCAGUACUUUCUGUCAGAAUGACCUCUUUCACCAUCUACCUCAAGUUGACAACUGAUGCAAGACAUCUACUUUCCCACAGAAAACAUAGAAAAGAACAGCCAAGGCUCUUUAUUAUCUUGUCCUCAAGCUCUCUCAGGUGUUGGAGAUAAUCAAGAUAAUCCA
rnacentral:lncRNA from 1 species